CAAAGGGGGACAGUGCUCAACAGUAAGCCUUCACCUCUGUGACUUAACUAAACCUACCUGAAGGUGGGACCAGCCUCAAGAGUCAGCUGGUGAGCAUGCCUCUGGGAAACCAUGCCAGGCAAUGCUAGGGAAAGCAACAAAAUAUUUAGGAGCCCGGCAACAGUAGCAGCAAAACAGAGGUAGUUCUGUUGAUAGCAGAACUUUAGUGAGGCAAGGAAUCAGCACUCUCUGAUUGCAUUCAUUUCCUCCCUCUUGGAUUUCUUUGUUGCGUCACUUGAAUUUUUCUUUUUCCAAUGUACUUCUUAACAAGAUUCCUUUGGGAAACAUUCCAGCUGAACUGGGGCAAGAAGGUUGAGAACAUCUGGGGCCAACACAACCAACAGGGAUCAGGCCAUUACCUUCCCCUGCCCAGGCACUUGAAGAAGUGGAGGUCAUGGCAGCAGCUCAGAGGAAACAAGGAAGAAUUAGGAGAAGCAGGAUCAGUAAGCAGGAGAAAAUACAAAUUAUGGCAGCCAGAGGAUCAUAUGAAACAACUUCUGCAACUGAUGAAAGAAACAGACAUCACCCAAGAUGCAGAGUGUUUGUAUAAUAGUUAG
rnacentral:lncRNA from 1 species